UUACGACAAUAUCACGUCGAAACAACGGUUCCUAUACGAUUACCCAAGUUAAGCAACGUCGAGCCCGAUGAGUACCUAGAUGAGUCACCGCUUAGGAAUAUCAGGUGUUAUA